CACGUAGGGUGCGAGCGUUGUCCGGAAUUAUUGGGCGUAAAGAGCUCGUAGGUGGCUUGUCACGUCGGGUGUGAAAGCUUGGGGCUUAACUCCAGGUCUGCAUUCGAUACGGGCUGGCUAGAGGUAGGUAGGGGAGAACGGAAUUCCUGGUGUAGCGGUGAAAUGCGCAGAUAUCAGGAGGAACACCGGUGGCGAAGGCGGUUCUCUGGGCCUUACCUGACGCUGAGGAGCGAAAGCGUGGGGAGCGAACAGG
rnacentral:rRNA from 1 species